rnacentral:rRNA from 1 species
CCUACGGGAGGCAGCAGUGGGGAAUAUUGCACAAUGGGCGAAAGCCUGAUGCAGCAACGCCGCGUGAGGGAUGACGGCCUUCGGGUUGUAAACCUCUUUUAGUAAGGAAGAAGAACUUCGGUUUGACGGUACUUGCAGAAAAAGCACCGGCUAACUACGUGCCAGCAGCCGCGGUAAUACGUAGGGUGCAAGCGUUGUCCGGAAUUAUUGGGCGUAAAGAGCUCGUAGGCGGUUUGUCGCGUCUGCUGUGAAAUCCCGAGGCUCAACCUCGGGCUUGCAGUGGGUACGGGCAGACUAGAGUGCGGUAGGGGAGAUUGGAAUUCCUGGUGUAGCGGUGGAAUGCGCAGAUAUCAGGAGGAACACCGAUGGCGAAGGCAGAUCUCUGGGCCGUAACUGACGCUGAGGAGCGAAAGCAUGGGGAGCGAACAGGAUUAGAUACCCUGGUAGUCCAUGCCGUAAACGUUGGGAACUAGAUGUAGGGGCCAUUCCACGGUUUCUGUGUCGCNGCUACGACACUACGUACCGUCCGUCGGNGGUACGGCCGCGACGACGUAACUAACAACAGAGUAGUACGCGNGAGACGAGCGACGACGACGACGACGGGAGGAGG